AGUCGCGCGCGAUUUGUGUCGGCAACCUUUUCGUUCAAUUGGUGUUGACGUUUUGAUUUCUGCGUUCAUUGAAUUUCAAUAUCUGUCAGUGGUGAUGCAAAACAGUGUUUACAAUAUUGGCGCAUCUGUUUCUAUGAACGAACGAGAUGAAAUGCAAUCAAUAUGCAAGUUCUCUUGAUAUACCGUCCGGGAAGAGUGCUGAAUUGGUCAAGGAUGCGUAUAAUAUUGGAGAUAUAGCAAGAAGCACAGAAUCCGCUGGAUGUGUUUUUCCAAGUUAACAGCAAUUGUUGCUGUCUGUUGUUAUCAGCGAGCCGAAAUAAGUAUGUUAGAUAGCCUAAGAUUGGAUAAUUCUGGUCAGAUUUCCCGGGAAACCGUUAUCAUCCCUGAUUCUCGAUUGUACCAUGUGCGAAGGUGCGGUCUGCGAAUAUGUGACCCCUGGGAGAAUUUUUCAUAUUUAGCGUUAGUGUAUACAUAAAUCAUUCUUUAGAAGAAUUGUUGAAAAUUUUUCGGUUUUCUUUAUAUAAUUCUUUUCGGCUGUAUUCUUAUUUCAAUGAUUUUUUUAUGUUUGUAAAUAUUGUUUGCUGGUUUGUGGUAUUACUCCAACGAAAAAUAAAUAUAUACAUCCAUUUUUUAGAAAUA